GACAGAGGGUGCAAACGUUGUUCGGAAUUACUGGGCGUAAAGCGCAUGUAGGCGGCCUAGCAGGUCGGAUGUGAAAUCCCUCGGCUCAACCAAGGAAGUGCAUUCGAAACCGCAAGGCUGGAGUCCCGGAGAGGAUGGUGGAAUUCUCGGUGUAGAGGUGAAAUUCGUAGAUAUCGAGAGGAACACCGGCGGCGAAGGCGGCCAUCUGGACGAGGACUGACGCUGAGAUGCGAAAGCGUGGGGAGCGAACAGG
rnacentral:rRNA from 1 species